AGGCGCGUAGCUCAGUUGGCUAGACCACUACCUUGACAUGGUAGGGGUCGUUGGUUCAACUCCAAUCGCGCCUACCA
rnacentral:tRNA from 1 species